rnacentral:lncRNA from 1 species
CAAGUCAGACGCACACGGUACAUUUUUACUAGCCUUCGGAGCGCGCUAACACUAUUGGGACAUAAAUUAUUAACUUUUUUGAACAAAACUACAUUUGUUAUGGACCUGGGAAUUCCUAGAAGUGCCUUCUGAUAAAGAUAAUCUAAGAUGCUAUGCCGGAUUAACUCAUUGCAGAAUGUGUCCAUAAUCACGAAUGAAUAAGCAUAUUUACAGUGCCUUCAGUGUGCUCUGAGGAUGGAACAUGUGCUGUGGGGUUCAGUGUGGGUGGACAUGGUGGCUCAGUUGAUGACCAGGUUGUUCUGGGAUUUCAGCUACAUGUAGGAAGUCACAUGGCAACAACAGGUUUUGAUGGAGUAGUCUUAUCCUACCUCUCCCACCCUUGGGCUGGGCCUUCAACACUUGAAUGUCUUUAUCUUAGCAGGCCGGGAUGACAUAUACUUCAUCUUCCCAGUAGGAGCGGAUCUUUCCUGGCCUUCCCAUUUCUCUCAUGUUCCUUACAAGGACCCUGCUGCCUUCCUGAAACUCUGACCCAUAGGUUAUCUUGUCGUACUGCUUAUUUCCCCUGUAAACUGAUUUGGCUAUAUUUUUGGAUGCUAUCACUUCUCCACAUAGUCCUGGUAGGAGCCUGGAUUUUCCUCUCUAUCUAUCCUGAACAG